rnacentral:rRNA from 1 species
AAUCUGGGGUCCCCGACCCCCGAGUUGUAAUUUGGAGAGGCAUCUCCGGGGGGGAGCGCUGGCCCAUGUUCCUUGGAACAGGACGUCGCAAAGGGUGAGAAUCCCGUGCCAGGCCGGCUGCCUCCUCCCGAGUGGAGGGCCUUCGACGAGUCGAGUUGUUUGGGAAUGCAGCUCCAAGUGGGUGGUAAAUUUCACCUAAAGCUAAAUACCGGCGGGAGACCGAUAGCGCACAAGUAGAGUGAUCGAAAGAUGAAAAGCACUUUGAAAAUAGAGUCAAAAAGUACGUGAAAUUGUUGAAGGGGAAGCGCUUGAGACCAGACUCAGACCCGAGCAAACACCGCGCCCCUCGGGGCCGUGCAAUUGCCUGGGGCUGGGCCAGCAUCAGUUGGCGUGGCGGGACAAAGGCGCGGGGAAUGUGGCUCCCCUCGGGGAGUGUUAUUAGGCCCGCGCUCAAUGCCGCCGCCGCCGACUGAGGACCGCGCCUCGGCUAGGAUGCUGGCUUAAUGGCCUUCAGCGACCCGUCUUGAAACACGGACCAAGGAGUCUAACAUCUAUGCGAGUGUUUGGGCGUCAAACCCUUGCGCGGAAUGAAAGUGAGCGGAGGUGGGAACCCCUUCGCAGGGCGCACCAUCGACCGAUCCUGAUGUCUUCGGAUGGAUUUGAGUA